rnacentral:rRNA from 1 species
AGAAAAGCAGGGGAUCGUCAAGACCUUGCGUUAAUGGAGCGGCCGAUAUCUGAUUAGCUAGUUGGUGGGGUAAAGGCCCACCAAGGCUUCGAUCAGUAGCUGGUCUGAGAGGACGACCAGCCACACUGGAACUGAGACACGGUCCAGACUCCUACGGGAGGCAGCAGUGGGGAAUUUUGGACAAUGGGCGCAAGCCUGAUCCAGCCAUUCCGCGUGAGUGAAGAAGGCCUUCGGGUUGUAAAGCUCUUUCGCAAGGGAAGAAAACUUACCUUCUAAUAAAGGGUGAGGCUGACGGUACCUUGAUAAGAAGCACCGGCUAACUACGUGCCAGCAGCCGCGGUAAUACGUAGGGUGCGAGCGUUAAUCGGAAUUACUGGGCGUAAAGCGUGCGCAGGCGGUUUUGUAAGUCAGAUGUGAAAGCCCCGGGCUCAACCUGGGAACUGCGUUUGAAACUACAAAGCU